GAUGAACGCUGGCGGCGUGCCUAAUACAUGCAAGUAGAACGCUGAAGGAAGGAGCUUGCUCUUUCCGGAUGAGUUGCGAACGGGUGAGUAACGCGUAGGUAACCUGCCUGGUAGCGGGGGAUAACUAUUGGAAACGAUAGCUAAUACCGCAUAACAGUAGAUGUUGCAUGAUAUCUACUUAAAAGGUGCAAUUGCACCACUACCAGAUGGACCUGCGUUGUAUUAGCUAGUUGGUGAGGUAACGGCUCACCAAGGCGACGAUACAUAGCCGACCUGAGAGGGUGAUCGGCCACACUGGGACUGAGACACGGCCCAGACUCCUACGGGAGGCAGCAGUAGGGAAUCUUCGGCAAUGGACGGAAGUCUGACCGAGCAACGCCGCGUGAGUGAAGAAGGUUUUCGGAUCGUAAAGCUCUGUUGUAAGAGAAGAACGGGUGUGAGAGUGGAAAGUUCACACUGUGACGGUAUCUUACCAGAAAGAGACGGCUAACUACGUG
rnacentral:rRNA from 1 species